rnacentral:lncRNA from 1 species
GAUUUUGAUUUUUCUUCUUUUUUUGUUUUUGAUCUUGAUUUUGCUUUUUUUUUUGUGCUUGAAUCUGAACCUAUAGGAUUAGGCAAGUCCUUGUUAUCCCUUUUGACCAAAAUCAAUGUUUUUAUAGAUAAAGUCCUCCACCUAAGAUCUUUCACUUUCAUCUUGUAUGCAAAAAACUUUCUUUGGUAUCAGAUUUCUUU